GGCCCCAUCGUCUAACGGACAGGACACCAGGUUGCUAACUUGGUCUAGUGUGGGUUCGAAUCCCACUGGGGCUA
rnacentral:tRNA from 1 species